GCCAGACUCCUACGGGAGGCAGCAGUGGGGAAUAUUGCACAAUGGGGGGAACCCUGAUGCAGCGACGCCGCGUGGGUGAAGAAGUCAUUCAUGACGUAAAGCCCUAUCAGCAGGGAAGAAAAUGACGGUACCUGACUAAGAAGCCCCGGCUAACUACGUGCCAGCAGCCGCGGUAAUACGUAGGGGGCAAGCGUUAUCCGGAUUUACUGGGUGUAAAGGGAGCGUAGACGGCGAUGCAAGUCUGAAGUGAAAGGCGGGGGCCCAACCCCCGGACUGCUUUGGAACUGCGCGGCUGGAGUGCAGGAGGGGCAGGCGGAAUCCCUGGUGUAGCGGUGAAAUGCGUAGAUAUCAGGAGGAACACCGGUGGCGAAGGCGGCCUGCUGGACUGCGACUGACGUUGAGGCCCGAAAGCGUGGGGAGCAAACAGGAUUAGAUACCCCGGUAG
rnacentral:rRNA from 1 species